rnacentral:rRNA from 1 species
CUACGGGUGGCUGCAGUGAGGAAUUUUGCGCAAUGGGGGUAACCCUGACGCAGCAACGUCGCGUGACCGAUUGAAGCUUCUAGGAGUGUAAAGGUCUGUCGUGAGGGAAGAAAUGGUCUGAUAAUAAUAAGAUUGGAUUUUGGCGGUACCUCAUAAGAAAGCUCCGGCUAACUUCGUGCCAGCAGCCGCGGUAAUACGAGGGGAGCAAGCGUUGUCCGAAAUAACUGGGCGUAAAGGGUGCGUAGGCUUUUGUACAAGUUUUCAGUGAAAUUCAUAGGCUCAACUUAUGACCUGCUGGAAAACUGUAUGGAUUGAAUUCGGAAGGGGAAAGCGGAAUUCCUGGUGUAGCGGUGAAAUGCGUAGAUAUCAGGAGGAACACCAGUGGCGAAGGCGGCUUUCUGGUCCGAAAUUGACGCUGAGGCACUAAAGCGUGGGUAGCAAACAGGAUUAGAUACCCUUGUAGUC